rnacentral:lncRNA from 1 species
GGUAAAUCUCUUUUCCUUACUCUUUUUUUUUAAAACGAAUAUCAAUCAUGAAGAAAAUCCAAAAGAAAAACGAAUGAGAUGCUAGAUUUAAAACAAUCACCUUUUCAAUUCGUGAUUUCUGCUUUUUUCUAUUUGAUAUCUUUUUGUAUGUGUUUUUUCGUAAAAAAAGAAGGGGCUUUUACAAUCGAAAAAUGAAAGGCUUUAUAGCCGAAUCAUCAAAAUAAAAUAAUAAACACAAUUUUCUUUUUCUUUUUUCAUAUUGGCUUGUUGCUGCUGUUGUUUGUCUAUUUCUUCGCAGGUACGGAGUGUGCGUGGUGCGAGUACGGGGGCUGUGCUGGUGUACAGAGGCGCGGGCGUGGCUGCUGAAGGGUACGAAGGUGGGGCUGCUGCGGCGCAAGCAGAGAUUGCUAGGGUUCUGCUUUGAUUUUUUUUGUUUUUGGGCUGUAGGGUAUUUGGGUCUAGGUUUGGGCUUGUAAUAAGUUUGGGCUAAGUUAGGGUAUUUGGGUCAUUGUAAUAACUUUGGGCCUUGGACUGUUUCUAUUUUUACUUGGGUUUUUUAUGUAUUUGUUUGUAACGGGCUGGGCAAAUUUGGCCCACUACAGUUGCCCCUCUUUGCUUAUUGUCGUGUAACGAGAAUAGAGCAAAGACUAUAAAUGGGCCAAUUUUGCCUGGACGUGCUGAGUUUCGACUUCUUUUGACGCUUCUUUUCUUCAUGUAGCUUCAAUAUGCUCCACGGCAACUUCAGGGAGACAUGGUUCGUGUGUUUUUAUCCUGCUUUACAGCAAUUUCAGAGAGAUAAGGAUUGUGACUUCGAUCAGCUCCACUGUAACUUCAGGAAGACAAGAUCUGCAAUUUUCAGCCUGUUACCCUACUACUUAGGGGGUUAAGGCUUGUUUUCUUCGAUCUACUCCGCCGGAGACAAGAUCUGCAAUCUUCAACCUACUCCACUACAACUUUAGGGAGAUAGGAUGGUGGCUUAAAUUUGCUUCACUACAACUUCAGGAAGACAAGAUUCGCCGUUUUCGAUCUGCUCCACUGCAACUUUAGGGAAACUGUAACAGCCCGUUUUUAGGGUUGAUCGGAACAGUGGUUUCGGGGCCACCAAAUCCGAACGAGUAGGUUGAUAAAUAUUAUAUUUAAUAUUUAUGAGUUAAUUGUGAUUUUAAAAAUGUUUUUGAUAUUGUGAUUUUUGUUUUAUAAGCGAUUUAUUAAGUUCAAGUGGUAUGACUCUAAGGUCAAGUGGGUUUAGAAAAUGAGGUAUCGGGACCUUGUUUCUAUAAACCGAGUCGUAAAUAUUUUUGUAAAUAUUUACGUAGUGGCAAUAAGAUGGUAUUAAAGUUUCGUUGAAAAAUUUUAUCGUUUCGAUAGUUAAUUUGCAAAAAGGACUAAAUUGUGUAAAGUGCAAAAGUUGUGUUCUAUAACCUAAAGGUAUUAAAUAGAUAUAGAACUUAAAAGUAGAAGUCUUUAUUUGGUAAUUAGCCCAUUAAAGAGAUAGUGGGAUAUGAUGGCUUGGCAUUUGGUGUAAUAAAUAAAGUGUAUAAAGGUUAAUAUUGUAAAUUGGUUAAUAAUAAUAAUAAAAUGAAUAUAAUAAAAGAAUCAAUGUGUCAUCUUUUUCAUUCUCUUUUACUAGCCGAAUAUGAAGGCUUGAGAAGCCAUGGAAGAAGCUUCCAACUUUCAGCUAAUGCAUGAUCAAGAUCGGGUGGAAAAUCGAGAAAAAUAAGAAAAUUACCAAAAUGCCCCUGAACUUUGGUAUCUCUACAAUUUAGCCAGGUAAGUUCGUAUGCAAUAAGCAUUGUUAAAUUUAUGUUUCUAAUGCUUUAAUAUCGUAUAAAUUGUAUAUACAUGAAUAUUUUAAUGUCUGACGACAUAUCGACAAAAUGUGGCACUUAGUGUGCGGGGCAAUCAAAUAUGGUACUCAGUGUACGAAAUAUUGAGAAUGGCACUUAGUGUGCGAGAUAUUGAGAAUGACACGUAGUGUGCAAAAUAUCGAAUGAUUCAAAGGGAAAUUAUAAAUUGUGAUUGAAUGAUUAAAUAGAGCAAAGUAAACAGGUAUACAUGCUAUAUUAUAUGAAUUGUUUAUGAAACCUUGUGUUAAAUCGGCAAUUGAAUUUGUUCAAUACAUUAAGUUGGCCAGGUAUGUGAUAUAUACUUAUGCAUGUUAGAUUGAUUGGAAUUGAAUCAUGAAUGUGAAAUGAGAAGCUUUGGUGAAAAUGCCUAUGUCAUAUAUGUGAGUAAGGGCAAAACCAUCGUAAAUUAUCGAUAAGGGUGGACUAUGUGCGGAAUCAUCUUAUAAUUGCUAAUUUGAACGGUUGUGUGCAAAUCAUUGAGCAUGAUGUAUUUUAUUGAGAUUAUGCUUAAGUGAAAUUAUAAAUAUGUGGUGAAAUUGAUUGGUGAUAUACAUGUUUAAAUAAUGUGAAUGCAAAGAAUGUGUGAAAGAGUAAAUUUGUAAUAAAUCUGCUUGGGACAGCAGCAGUAACGUGAUUUUGGAAAAUCACCAUAAAUUUUUGGAGUUGAGUUAAAAGCUUAAUAAAUUAUGUAAUUAAAUCUUAAUGAGUCUAGUUUCUUAUAAAAGAAACCGUGUAAGCAAAAGAAUUUCUGAUAAUGAGAUAUUUGAAGUGGCGUGGGAUAGAGUCAAAUGACUUCGGGGUCCCCUGUUCUGUUUUUAUAAAAUCAUUAUAAUUUUUACAAAAAUGGUUAUAAGAUAAAAUUUAUAUGCUUAGACUCCUUAAUGAGUCUAGUUUCAAAUGAAAUCAAAGAGAACAUAUUUUGAAUUCUUUACAAUGAGAAAUUUGAUUCGUAGUGAAGAGUGGUUAGAUUAGUCAAACAGUGAAACAGGGGAAACUUUAAGAAAAAUCUGGUAUCGAUUGGCCAAACCAAAAAUUCUGAAAAUUUUAUGGAUGGAAGAUAUAUGAGUAUAUUUUCAGAGAAAAUUAACAGCAAUUGAUUUGGAGUUUUGUAGCUCCAGUUAUAAAUAAUUUAGUGACUAUUGCUCAGGAAGACAACUUGUAGUGAAUUUGUGAUUAUGUUGUAAACAUUGAUAAAACUUGUUAAUGAGUUGCUUAUUGUUUUCUUAUGAACUUACUAAGCGUAAAGCUUACUCCCCUUUUCUUUCCCAUAUUCCCUAGGGUUGCCAGGUUAGCUCGGGUUGGAGGCCGUCAAAGAUAUUAUCAUAUUGUCAAGUCUACGCUAUCGGCGUAAGUAAAUCUUAGUGUUUCGAGUCUAUGGCAUAUAUAGGGUUGUAAAGUUGAGUAAGUAAAUGAUACAAGACUAAGAUAUUGGUAAAUAUUUAAUAAUGCCUCAUGAAUAUUUUGGGCCUUGUAAGCCCGAUUAAAGGAUAAUAUACGUGUGUAUGAAAAGUUUAAAAUUGAUCAAAAAAUUUUACGGUCUAUUUUUAUAUAAAUAGAUGAGUUUAAAUCUGGUAGCACCUCGAACCCUGUUCCGGCGAGGGAUACGGGCGAAUGGUGUUACAUUUUAUUGGUAUCAGAGCCAUGUUUUAGUCGGUUCUAGGACUACCAUGGCGUAUGUGAGUCUAGCUGUACAUGCCAUAUUUGACCUGCGAUAGUGUGAUAUCUCCUGACUCUGACGAAAAUUAUUUGAAUAGGACAGAUAAGUCUUUCAAUCAAGCUAAUUUUAAUAGUAUAAAAUAUGUACUCAGAUGUUUGAAUGAAAUUGUGUUCUAUACUGAUUUGAUUAAAUUAAAGUUGGCUCUGAAAUGUUUAAGUGUUCAUGAAUAUAUGAAUCCAAAGUUAAAUGAAAUGAUAUGUUCAAAGUGCACAUAUGUGAUGUUUUAUAGACUUGGUUACGUCACUUCAAUGUGCAACAACAAGUGAACAUAGGCACUGUGUGUGUGAGUUCCGUAACCGAGCACUGUGUGUGCGAGAUCCGUUGUUGAGGCACUAUGUGUACGAGUUCUGUAACCGAGCACUGUGUGUGCGAGAUCGGUUGUUGAGCCACUGUGUGUGCGAGUUCCGUAACCAAGCACUGUGUGUGCGAGAUCGGUUGUUGAGGCACUGUGUGUGCGAGUUCUGUAACCGAGCACUGUGUGUGCAAGAUCGGUUGUUGGGGCACUAAGUGUGUGAAAUGAGAUCAUGUAAGACCUCGUCCGAGAUGAAGGCAUUGAUUUGAAGUAGUGUAUAAGAACGUGUCUGGGACACUGGCAUCACUUAUGAUUCGUGUAAGACCCUGUCCGGGACAAUGGCAUCGAUAUUGAAUAAACUUGGUCAGAUGUAUGUAGUCCAUGUGAAAAUGAGACGUGAUAAAUAACAGAUAAAUAUAUGCUAUAUGUGCUUGACAUGUGACCUUGUGGUUCCAUGAAUCAAACAUGGAAAAAUAUGACAUGUUUUGGUUGGUAUGUAUUGGAUAUGUGCAAGUUUUGUUCAUACGAAUGAAUUGAAAGUUAUCACACGAAUUUAAAAUCAUAGUCGCAAGUUAUUUGUAAAUAUAAAUAAGUGAAGCUAUUUAAUAAGGUUAUAUGAACUUAAGAGUACUAUGAAUGUAUAUGCAAUUGAGAUUAUUUUUCAAUUCGAAUUAGUGAUAUGGAAUUUUCAUAAUCAUUGAAAUGAUUUAUUUGCUUAAGGCUUACUAAGCUUUCAAAGCUUAUUCUGUGUGUUUUUCACAAGACAGAUAUGCUUUCCACCCGAGCUAAUUCUGAUAGUACAGAAUGUUAUACUCAAACGUUUGAGUGAAAAUGUGUUGGUGAUGAGUUGAAACUCAUAAAAAGGUAUGAAUCAGAAUGCAUGAUAUUCUACUAUUGAUAAAUGUUAUAAUUAUAUGAGUAUAUGAGUUGUGAUGUUGGGUAUAUGAUUGUUGUCUGAAUAUUUUGAUUUGGAAUUUAUGAUUUGAUUUAGCGCAUGAGCUAUGUGUUAAGUACCAAGUGAUCAUAAGUAAAUGAUUGCUAGAUGUUUGAGAAUGCGAAAUUAGUAAUGAACUGUUCGUUCAUAAUAGUAUGUGUGAUGUGCAUACUUACGUAAGAGUUAAAAUUGUUGGCUUUACAACCCUCACCCCCUCAUUCGUAAAGCAUUAUAAUGAGAUCCGUACUAUAUGACUUAAAUAAGCUUACAAGUGCGGAAUGACAGAGUCUCGGGAUUGAAGGAUUAGUAUUGUGAUCAGAUAAGAGAAUGAGUCCGCAAGUGAAGACAGUAACAGAAAAGAUAUUGGAUCGUGUUGAAGGCCAUUUGUAAUAUGCAAAGUCACUGUUAAAAGAAAAGUUGAAUUAGAUGAAACCAAAUAUUCAGGUAUGAUAUCUAAAGAACAUAUUAACUGGAAGUUCUUCUGAAUUGGCCUCCGUUAGUGUUGGGAUAAUGAGAAAUUAGUGAUGUCAGAGAUAGAUAGUAGAAUCAUAUUUGAAUUAUAAAGAUAUUUGAGCACAUCGAUUAUAGUCGAAUGGUUUACGAGAACUCUUCUAGGUACUCUAUGUGUUCAAUUAUCCUCAGAGGUAUGUGAAGCUGUAUAUUUUCAGAUGAAAUUCUUAACAUAUGAGAACGUUAUCUAUAUAUAUUGAUAUAUGAAAGCAUUGUUGGGCUGUUCGGGUUACAAUCAGCAUUAUUAUAUCUUUCUCUGGUAUUCUAUUUCAUUUUAUUGAAAGAAAAGAUCGACGAUUAAAUCUGUGUGAUGUUGGUAUUCUGCUCCUACUGGUUGUUGAUCUGCUUAGUAUACAUGAAGAUUAUAUUGUUUCUGUUACUGUUGAUUCCGAUGCAUAUGAGUGAUGCUUUACUUCUGGAUUUCCACUGAGACAUCAUUGAGAUAUCUGUCAUCUGAUAUGGGUGCUUUCUUUAAAAAAAGAUUAGUAUAGUGAUAUAUUUGAGAAUUACAGUAUCUCUGCUUUCUUAUGAUUCUAUAUGGUUAUCUGUGAAAAAUAUCUAUUGAAUGAUUGUAACUAUAUUUCAAUUUCUCUUAUGUUCAAAAUGCAUUAUUGAUAAUUGGGACAUUAUAUAUCUAUACGGUUGAGAUGUCAGCCUUAUUAUGGCACUAUGAUUUUAAAUUAUCUGAUGGUUGUGGCUUCAGUAUGGUUCAAAGCUUCGUUGAUUAAUAAUUGAAAAGUUAUUACUUGACAGUCGAGAUCGAUUCAGUUGUCUAGUUUGAUUAGAUUAAUUGCUUGAAGGAUUAAUCGAGUUACUUGUAUCUGAAUCUAUCCUCAGGGUGGAAAUAAAGUUUGAAUGGUCACGGAUAAAUAGAUGAAUAUUCUGAAUGCAGGAUUCAUAUUCUAGAAGAUAUGAUACAGAAUUAUAUCCAUCAGAACGAUUUUAUUGAGAAAUGUUCUUAUAGAUCGCGAUUGGGAAGUCUGAAUGAUGUGAUAAUUAUCAAUAAAGUGGUAAACAGUUGAAGAAAUUGUUAAUUGAAGUGUCAGUUCUCAGGUAAAGAGUUAUUCGACACAAGAAUUAAAGAUGGUUUGAACUGUUGAAAGAUUAUGAGUCAGCGAUUGAUUAUCAAUCUAGGCAAAUGAUUAUAGUCUUUGGGGUUCUGAACGAGAAUCUUUAUGUGUUUUACGGCCGAUAAUCAUGUGAUUAAUCUUAUCAAAUGAUGAGUAGUUAUUAGCUGAGCUAGAAACUAAAUUGAUGUUUAAUUAGCAAAUUUGUGAGGUUAAGAGGUGUGUCAGUGAAUUACAAGUUAAAAAGGGUACAACGUAAAUUGAUUUCUAAUUUAAAAUUUCAGAUUGGAAUCGAAAAUUGUUCGUUAUGUCGAGAUAGAGUUCGUGUAUUGAGAAAUCCAGAGAUUUUACAACAAUUGUGACAUCUAGCACAGUGGUAAUUAUCUAUCCGUACGGGGAGUACUAAAAGAGUGCUAGUUUUCAUUGUUCAAAUGGAGACACGAGGAUUAUAUAGUGUUACUAAAAUAAACUACUAUGAGCUUUGGGUAUGGAAUUACUUUGUAACACUGUGUUCUAGAACUUGAAAGCAACCGAGAAAGACAUUUAUUGUUUGUUAAGUUUGCAUAUAAUAAUAAUAGUUAUGAGAUGAAUGUUAAGAUAGCAUUGUAUGGGUGUGGUAUGGUUGCAAUUACUGAACUUCGUUGUAUUGAAUUGAAUUUUUAUAAAAAGAAUUUCGGGGUCGAUGUGAUUGGAAAGACUGAGGGGAAAUGAAAGUAAUUCAUGACUGUCUAAAAACAGUUUCAGAUUUGCAGAAAAUAUAUGUGGGCUUGAUGCGUAAAAGAAUUGAAUUUUCAAUUAGAAAAUUAAGUAUUUGUAAAGGUAUUAUAGUGGGAAUAGAAUUUCUAGAUUUAGCUAUAAAGAGAAGUUGAGUUCGCUGUUCAUCGGAUUGAAUGAUAUUAUAAUCAAAACUUGAGAAGACCCGUAAUGUGCUUUUUAUAUAUAUGAUGUGAUGAUACAAAUAAGAUCCUUUAUCUAUAGUAUCUCUUACAAAAGUAGAAACUCAGCUUGUUAUGAUGUAUAGUAAAGAGCAGAUCAUAAUCUUAGCUCAUGAGAUUGAAAAGUUGAGAAAUCUGAGGCUAGGUGAGAAAUUGUUGAGGUUGGUGAAAGAAAAUCAGUAAUUUAUUCUCUGGCAAGAUUUUCGGGGACGAAAAUCCUUAAGGGGGGAGAGUUGUAACAGCCCGUUUUUAGGGUUGAUCGGAACAGUGGUUUCGGGGCCACCAAAUCUGAACGAGUAGGUUGGUAAAUAUUAUAUUUAAUAUUUACGAGUUAAUUGUGAUUUUAAAAAUAUUUUUGAUAUUGUGAUUUUUGUUUUAUAAGCGAUUUAUUAAGUUCAAGUGGUAUGACUCUAAGGUCAAGUGGGUUUAGAAAAUGAGGUAUCGGGACCUUGUUUCUAUAAACUGAGUCGUAAAUAUUUUUAUAAAUAUUUACGUAGUGGUAAUAAGAUGGUAUUAAAGUUUCGUUGAAAAAUUUUAUCGUUUCGAUAGUUAAUUAUGCAAAAAGGACUAAAUUGUGUAAAGUGCAAAAGUUGUGUUCUAUAACCUAAAGGUAUUAAAUAGAUAUAGAACUUAAAAGUAGAAGUCUUUAUUUGGUAAUUAGCCCAUUAAAGAGAUAGUGGGAUAUGAUGGCUUGGCAUUUGGUGUAAUAAAUAAAGUGUAUAAAGGUUAAUAUUGUAAAUUGGUUAAAAAUAAUAAUAACAUAAAUAUAAUAAAAGAAUCAAGGAGUCAUCUUUUUCAUUCUCUUUUACUAGCCGAAUAUGAAGGCUUGAGAAGCCAUAGAAGAAGCUUCCAACUUUCAGCUAAUGCAUGAUCAAGAUCGGGUGGAAAAUCGAGAAAAAUAAGAAAAUUACCAAAAUGCCCCUAAACUUUGGUAUCUCUACAAUUUAGCCAGGUAAGUUCAUAUGCAAUAAGCAUUGUUAAAUUUAUGUUUCUAAUGCUUUAAUAUCGUAUAAAUUGUAUAUACAUGAAUAUUUUAAUGUCUGACGACAUAUCGACAAAAUGUGGCACUUAGUGUGCGGGGCAAUCAAAUAUGGUACUCAGUGUACGAAAUAUUGAGAAUGGCACUUAGUGUGCGAGAUAUUGAGAAUGACACUUAGUGUGCAAAAUAUCGAAUGAUUCAAAGGGAAAUUAUAAAUUGUGAUUGAAUGAUUAAAUAGAGCAAAGUAAACAGGUAUACAUGCUAUAUUAUAUGAAUUGUUUAUGAAACCUUGUGUUAAAUCGGCAAUUGAAUUUGUUCAAUACAUUAAGUUGGCCAGGUAUGUGAUAUAUACUUAUGCAUGUUAGAUUGAUUGGAAUUGAAUCAUGAAUGUGAAAUGAGAAGCAUAGGUGAAAAUGCCUAUGUCAUAUAUGUGAGUAAGGGCAAAACAAUCGUAAAUUAUCGAUAAGGGUGGACUAUGUGCGGAAUCAUCUUAUAAUUGCUAAUUUGAACGGUUGUGUGCAAAUCAUUGAGCAUGAUGUAUUGUAUUGAGAUUAUGCUUAAGUGAAAUUAUAGAUAUGUGAUGAAAUUGAUUGGUGAUAUACAUGUUUAAAUAAUGUGAAUGCAAAGAAUGUGUGAAAGAGUAAAUUUGUAAUAAAUCUGCUUGGGACAGCAGCAGUAAUGUGAUUUUUGAAAAUCACCAUAAAAUUUUGGAGUUGAGUUAGAAGCUUAAUAAAUUAUGUAAUUAAAGCUUAAUGAGUCUAGUUUCUUCUAAAAGAAACCGUGUAAGCAAAAGAAUUUCUGAUAAUGAGAUAUUUGAAGUUGCGUGGGAUAGAGUCAAAUGACUUCGGGGUCCCCUGUUCUGUUUUUAGAAAAUCAUUAUAAUUUUAACAAAAAUGAUUAUAAGAUAAAAUUUAUAUGCUUAGAGUCCUUAAUGAGUCUAGUUUCAAAUUAAAUCAAAGAAAACAUAUUUUUAAUUUUGUACAAUGAGAAAUUUGAUUCGUAGUGAAGAGUGGUCAGAUUAGUCAAACAGUGGAAUAGGGGAAACUUUAAGAAAAAUAUGGUAUCGAUUGGCCAAACCAAAAAUUCUGAAAAUUUUAUGGAUGGAAGAUAUAUGAGUCUAUUUUUAGGGAAAAUUAACAGAAAUUGAUUUGGAGUUUUGUAGCUCCAGUUAUAAAUAAUUUAGUGACUAUUGCCCAGGAAGACAACUUGUAGUGAAUUUGUGAUUAUGUUGUAAACAUUGAUAAAACUUGUUAAUGAGUUGCUUAUUGUUUUCUUAUGAACUUACUAAGCGUAAAGCUUACUCCCCUUUUCUUUCCCAUAUUCCCUAGGGUUGCCAGGUUAGCUCGGGUUGGAGGCUGUCAAAGAUAUUAUCACAUUGUCAAGUCUACGCUAUCGGCGUAAGUAAUCUUAGUGUUUCGAGUCUAUGGCAUGUAUAGGGUUGUAAAGUUGAGUAAGUAAAUGAUACAAGACUAAGAUAUUGGUAAAUAUUUAAUAAUGCCUCAUGAAUAUUUUGGGCCUUGUAAGCCAGAUUAAAGGAUAAUAUACGUGUGUAUGAAAAUUUUAAAAUUGAUCAAAAAUUUUUACGGUCUAUUUUUAUAUAAAUGGAUGAGUUUAAAUCUGGUAGCACCUCGAACCCUGUUCCGGCGAGGGAUACGGGUGAAGGGUGUUACAGAAACGAGAUCUACAAUCUUCAACCUACUCCACUACAGCUUUAGGGAGCUAGGAUGAUGGUUUAAAUCUGCUUUACUGCAACUUCAGAAAGACCAGAUUCGCCGUCUUCGAUCUGCUCCACUACAACUUCAGGGAAACAAGAUCAACAAUCUUCAGCCUACUCCACUACAACUUUAGGAAGCUAGGAUGGUGGCUUAAAUCUGCUUCACUGCAACUUCAGAAAGGCUAGAUUCGCCGUCUUUGAUCUACUCCGCUGUAACUUUAGGGAGACAGGAUCUGUAGAAUCGGUUUCAUAGGCCUAUGCGUAUGUCAAAUAAUUAGGAUGCUAUGAUCGAAAUGAAUCAAGUGUUCCUAACUAGAUGUGGUGUUUAUGUCAAAUAAUUAGAAUGCUAUGAUCGAAAUGAAUCAAGUGCUUCUAACUAAAUGAAUGAUUAUGAAUGUAGAAAUGUUAUGAGAGUAAUUCCUUUUUAAACGCUUAAGGUAUCAUUACUCAUAGUUCAUCAGGGUUCUAUCAUUGAUGCGCUAUUGCGUCUUCUUGCUUAGCCGUUAUCUUUGACAGAAAAUUUGAAGAAAUAGUCACAAUUUGGACUAUUAUUUUUCCAAUAUUUCCUACUUUUGAGUCUGGUUAGUUCUGACUAGUGGCCCUGUUUUAGGUCCUUGUACUAUUUAGAAACCUUCCAGAGUAAUAUGCAUAACUCCUUUUGUGUGAGUGUUAUAAGUCCAAAAAUCGUGAUUUCAACAAAAAUGCUCGAAAGAGAUUAUCAUAAUAGACAAGAUGGAAUUUUAUUGAGUGAAACUCGAAGUGAAUACAUUAAACAGGAUAGCAAAUCUGUUAAGGCACAAACAUGAAAAAAGGUGCCCCAGAUAUCGCAGCACGAGCUUCACUAUUCCAAUUUCUCAAAGGCUCAUUCGAACUAAAUGUGUGUUCGGGAGAUCCUGUGUAUUUUGUUGAUGCUCCAAGAUGUACUGCUUUUCCCUCUUAUUAAUUUUGGGAGGACAAGACUACCAUAUGCCCCAUAUUCAAAAUUUGAGCUGCCUGUUUUCGGGUUUUUAACUCAAAAUCCCUUUUGGUUUCAAAAUGCCCUUUGCGGGUUUUCACAUUGGCCUCUCUAUUUUUUUUAGGUCUUAAAGCGCCCUUUGCGGGUUUUCACCUUGGCCUUUCCCUUUUUUAGGUAAAAUACUUUUUGACGAAAUCUAAAUUUAUAGGAUUGGGCAAGUUUUUACCAUCCAUCUCGGCUAGAAUUAAUACUCCUUCGGAUAAAGCUUUCUUCACCAUGUAAGGCCUCUCCCAAUUAGGCAUCCAUUUUCCUCUAAAUUCCUUCUGUAUGGGAAGGAUCUUUUUCAAGACCAGAUCCCCCUCAUGAAACUCUCUUGGGCAGACCUUCUUGUCAUAAGCCCGCAUCAUUCAUUUUUGGUACAUCUGACUAUGACGGAUAGCUUUUAUUCUCUUUUUCUUAAUCAAGUUCAAUUGAUCGUAUCGAGAAUGGAUCUAUUCUGCUUCAUCUAACUUUAACUCCGACAAUACUCGAAGGGAUGGGAUCUCCACUUCGAUUGGCAAAACCGCUUCCAUUCCGUAGACCAAAAAGAAAGGCGUUGCCUCAGUUGAGGUUCUGACUAAUGUUCGAUAAGCAAAGAGGGCAAAUGGUAACUUCUCAUGCCAAUCUUUGUAGGUCUCAGUCAUCUUCUCCACGAUCUUCUUGAUGUUUUUAUUGGCCGCUUCCACUGCCCCAUUCAUUUUCGGGCGAUAUGGUGACGAGUUGUGGUGUCUGAUCUUGAAUUGACUGUAGACUUCCGCUAUCGUACUAUUGUUCAAGUUCAAUGCAUUGUCAGAUAUGAUCCUCUCCGGCAUUCCAUAUCGACAUAUGAUCUCCUUUUUCAGAAAUUUGCUCACUGCCGACUUUGUAACAUUGGCAUAUAAAGCGGCUUCUACCCAUUUGGUGAAGUAGUCGAUAACCACAAAGAUGAACCGAUGCCUAUUGGAAGUUUUCAGUGAUAUUGGUCCAAUCACAUCCAUGCCCCACAUAGAGAAAGGCCAUGGGGAAGCCAUGACAUGGAGCGGCGAAGGGGGUACGUGAAUUUUGUCUCCAUAGAUUUGGCAUUUAUGACAUCUCUUGGCGUAAUUGACACAAUCUCCUUAUAUAGUGGACCAAUAAUACCCGAAUCUCAUAAUUUGUCUGGCCAUUGUAAAGUCAUUAGCGUGUGUCCCACAGACGCCCUCAUGGACUUCUUCCAAGAUUUUCUUAGCCUCUACAGUGUCUACGCAUUUUAAUAGCACUUGAUCUUUUCUUCUUUUGCAUAAGAUCUCCCUAUCUAAGACAUAGUCAAUGGCCAAUCUUCUCAGUGUCCUUUUGUCAUUCUCGCUUGUCUAGUCCGGGUACUCACGAUUCUUCACAUAUUGCAAUAUAUCGUGAUACCAAGGGUGGUCGUCAUUUUCUUCAUCUUCUUCGAUAUUAUAACAGUGGGCCGGAGUUUCAUAAAUGCUCAUCCGGAUGGGUUUGACAUCUUCCUGUUUGUUCACCUUGAUCAUGGAAGAUAAGGUAGCUAAACCAUCGGCCUUUUCAUCCCGUGGAAGGUAGCGGAAGGUAAUGUCAUCGAACUCUUUAACCAAUUCAAGGACCAGUUUCCGGUAAUCGAUCAACUUGGGAUCUCUGGUCUCUCAUUCUCCUUUGAGUUGAUAAAUUACUGACGUAGAAUCUCCAUACACCUUUAGCACUUUAAUCUUGCAUUUUAUGGCUGCACGGAUACCUAUGAUGCACGUUUCGUAUUCUGCCAUGUUAUUCGUGCAAUCAAAAUCCAAUUUACUAGUGAAUGGAUAAUGAUUUCCGUUUGGGGAUACCAAGAUUGCCCCGAUUCCAUUACCAACGGCAUUUGAUGCCCCAUCGAGUUUAGUUUUCAAAGAAAUUCUUCCGGAGCACCUUCUUCAAUGGUCGCAACACACAUCAGGUCUUCAUUUGGGAAAUCGAAGUUCAAAGGCUCGUAAUGUUCCAAAGCUCUACUGGCCAGAAAAUCUGCUAUUGCACUCCCUUUCACUGCUUUCUGGUUCACAUAAAUUAUGUCGAAUUCAGAGAGCAGAAUCUGCUAUCGGGCAAUCUUUCCAUUCAAAGCUGUCGACUCCAUCAUGUACUUCAAAGGGUUCAGUUUUGAGAUGAGCCAAGUAGUGUGAUACAAGAUAUACUGUCUUAACCUCCAGGUUGUCCAAACCAGGGCACAACAUAACUUUUCUAUCGGUGGAUAUCUUGUCUCACAUUUAAUGAAUUUUUUACUAAGGUAGUAAAUGGAUUUUUCUUUCCUUCCUGAUUCAUCAUGCUGACCCAAUACGCAUCCCAUGGAAUUCUCAAAUACUGCCAAAUACAAUAUCAACGGCCUAUCGGGGUUAGGUGGCAUCAGCACCGGAGCGUUGGAUAAGUACUGUUUGACCUUGUCGAAAGCCCUUUGGCAUUCUUUAUCCCAUUCACCUGGGUUGUGUUUCUUGAGGAGGCGAAAAAUGGGGUCACAUUUCUCGGUUAGUUGUGAAAUAAACCGAGCGAUGUAAUUUAAUCUUCCUAGAAAGCCUCGAACCUCUUUCUAGGUACGCGGCGAAGAUAGCUCUUGUAUGGCUUUGACUUUGUCUGGAUCGAUCUCAAUCCCUUUUUCACUAACCACGAAUCCGAGAAGCUUUCCAGACUUGGCUCCGAAGGUACAUUUGGCUGGAUUGAGUUUUAGCUGGAACUUCCUCAACCUUAAGAAUAACUUCCUCAGGACUUGUACGUGCUCUUUCUCAGUUCGGGACAUUGCGAUCACAUCAUCGACAUAAACUUCAAUUUCUUUGUGCAUCAUGUCGUGAAACAGGGUUACCAUGGCCCUUUGAUAUGUUGCCCCCGUAUUCUUUAGUCUAAAUGGCAUUACCUUGUAGCAGAAUGUCCCCCACAUGGUUACAAAUGUGGUCUUCUCCAUGUCUUGAGGAUGCAUCUUGAUCUGGUUAUACCCAGAGAAACUGUCCAUGAAUGAAAACAGUGAAUGGCCUGCCGUGUUGUCCACUAGGGUGUCAAUAUGAGGCAGUGGGAAAUUAUCUUUCGGACUGGCUUUGUUCAAAUCUCUAUAGUCUACACACAUUUGUACUUUUCCAUCCUUCUUCGGGACGGGACGAUGUUGGCUACCCAUUCGGAGUACUUUAUCACCUUUAAAAAUCCAGCGUCAAACUGCUUUCUAACCUCUUCUUUUAUUUUUAGCAAGACGUCGGACCUCAUACUUCAGGGUUUUUGCUGAACUGGUUUACACUCUUCCUUUAUAGGGAGUCAGUGCACCACAAUAUCAGUGUUCAACCCGAGCAUAUCUUGGUAUGACCAUGCAAAAACAUCUUUGAAUUCUCGAAGUAAUUCGAUAAGAUCUCGCUUCAUCUCCAUGGUGAUACAAGUUCCGAUCUUCACCUCUUGCCCCUCUCCUAAGCUCAUAAUUUCUACUGUUUCUUUGUGAGGUAGGAUUUGUUUCUCGUCUUGUUCUACCAUCCUCAACAAAUCAGGAGAUAGGUUACAGCCUUAGUCAUCUUCGAAAUCCUGAGAAUCCUCCAUACACAUAUCUCGCUCAAAAGGAGACUCUGAGCCACUAGCAGUGUCACUGAUAUCAUUGAUAUCUGGGGACCUGUUAUGAGGAUGAAGGAAGAUACUUAUUUGUAUGGUAUGAUUAUUUGUAUGGUAUCAUUCAUAAUCUACUUUCAUUCUUCAUUAAUAUCAUUCAUAAUCUACUUUCAUUCUUCAUUGAUAUCAUUCAUAAUCAUUGAGCCACUAGCAGUGUCACUCAUAUCAUUGAACACUUAUUUGUAUUGUAUGAUUAUGAAUGAAGAAUGAAAGAAUAUUUAGAAGAGUGUUCGAAGAACAAAAGAAUCCAAAAGUAAUAUAAUUAUGAAUGAAAUUGAAAGAAUGAGAGAAUAUCUACCCAAAAUGGUAAUAACUGUACAUUUCAUUGAAAUAACGUUUUUAAACAUAAGCCUAUUUCACAAAAGAUUCUUAUUACUCCUAGGCCUAGAGCAAUAAGUGUGUUUUGGAUAUUACUCUGAGUCAGUUCUAAAAACUACAGGAAUCUCUUCCGCAGUCUAGUUAUCCAAAACACUUCCAGGUAUGUAGGGGCAAAUGCCCGAAAAAUUUUCCUCUCCAGUCUCUUCUUCGUAUGUGGCGUUGAUGUUCAAGCUUUCCAACCUUUCUUCUAUGGCUUCUUUUCUUGGCGUGCUUCUUUCGGGAUGAACGAUUCCUCUGGACACAAAAUUUUUCGAUAUGUGGGGAAAUAUCAUUGGCUCCCAUUUGAUUUCCUCCCCCUUCAACCUUACUCUCCUUCUUUCUUGCUUCUUUUUCAGCUCUUUUCUCCUUUGUCUUGCAUCUGGCUUAAAUUCUAAGCCGAAACGAUCUCUCUUGUCCUUCAAUACCGGCGUUUCAAUCCUUCCUUGGAGAUGUCUCUCGAGCUCUCUUCCGGGUAGGGCCCCUUUUCCAACCAUCAACUAUAGACUCAUCCUUGUAGUUUUGGACAAUUUUGGCAUCAAAAUCUUUCUUCCAUUGGCGAUGAAUGUCACGUUAACAAAUUCCAAAGACCGAAAUGAGCAUUCGAUUGCUUUGUCAUCUGUCUCCAAAUAGGGCGCAUUACUGCUUACAGUUGCACUGAUGUCCUCUUCAGCAUUGAUCGUUAUCAACCGCCCCUCUGAUACCAGCUUCAAAUUUUGAUGCAAUGAUGAAGGCACUGCCCCAGCUGAAUGUAUCCAAGGCCUCCCCAAUAAGAAAUUGUAUGAGGGCUUGAUAUCCAUCACUAGGAAAUCCACCUCAUAUGUGUUUGGCCCGAUCUGAAGAGGUACCUCGAUUCUGCCGAUCACCCUUCUCUCCGUACCAUCGAAUGCUUUCACUAUGUUCUGGCACUCCUUCAUGUGAGAGCUGUUUAUAGGUAAUUUGUUUAGCGUAGUUAAUGGCAGGACGUUCAAGGCCGACCCAUUGUCAAUCAGUACGCCUGGCAGCGUAUACCCCUUACAGCGCGUGGUAAUGUACAAAGCUUUAGUCGACCCCAUGCCACUGGGUGGUAUCUCGUUGUCAUUGAAGAAGAUAUAGCUUUCGGCACUUAUGUUGCUAACCAAACGGUCCAGCUUGUUGACAGAGAUAUCAUUGGCAACAUAUGUUUCAUUCAGGACCUUCAUCAGCACGCUGCGGUGGACUUCUGAACUCAGGAGUAAGGCCAGCACCGAGAUAAGAGCUGGUUAUUUACGUAGCUAUUCCACCACGCUGUACUCGCUGUGUUUUAGGAAUUUCAAAAACUCCUUAGCCUCCUCCUCGUUAACUGGCUCAUUAAUAGGAAGUUCAUAUAUGGUCGCUUUUUCUUUCAUCUCUUCGACCACUAGGGCUUUUCCUUUUACAGGUUGUGCCUUUUCACUUGAUGUAUCGUAGCGUCUCCCGCUACGUGUAUAGGAGCCCCUAUCUUGUUCCUCUUUUGAAGUAUCAGCCAAGCUUUGCUUUCCCAGAAUCGUUAUGUUACAAUCAUAAUUCCAUGGGACCCUUUUGCUGUCUUUAUAGGGGAAGACUGUAGGUCUUUGGAGUAUGACCCUCGGUGGCAUUUGCACUCUAGCUUCAUUAUUUUUAGGUCGCGAUAUGAUGACCACAGGGUAGUUAACUGUUCGGAUUCUCCCUCCGAUGCACAUAUAUCUCCCUCUCCGGGGUUUUUUGCUUCUUCAUAAAACUCCAUUUCUUUGUUGUUCAUCAUGCUCUGUACUAGGGCCUUGAACUCCACACACUCUUGGAUUUUAUGUCCCACCUCGUUUUGAAACUCAUAGUAGUUCCUCCCUUCUUCAUACUUUUCUCUCGAAUCCAACGCGAUCAAUCCUCUCUUGACCAUCUCCUUCCACACCCAUCUCAAUGGGGUCCUGACUUUUGCAACCUCACUUUUGAUCCUCUUGUUCUUGCCUUCACUUAUCUCGUUCACUCCUUGGUCGGCAUGAUUGGGGAGCAUAUUUCCUGCUACAUUGGGUACAGCUGGGUCGUCAAACCUCACGAUCCCCAUUUUAAUGAGUCUCUCGACUACUUUCUUGAACGCGGUGUAGUUUUCGAUUGAGUGCCCGGUAAUUCCCACGUGGUAUUCACAUUGGGCGUUUGUGUCAUACCAUUUGGGAUACGGGGGCUGUAGUGACUUCAGGUAAAAAGGCGACACUACAUGAGCGUUGAACAGAUUCUGGUACGGCUCCCUAUACGUCAUGGGUAUAGGGGAGAACUAUGGCCUCUCUGUGUUCUCCCUCGCGUUGGAUUCUUGUCUCACAGUGCUAUGUUGAUUGGUGGCUACCGUCUUUGGUUGAUUUACGGUGAGUGACUUGGACUAACCUUUACCGAAUGUGCUCGUGUUAUUCAUUUCAUUAUCUCUUUUCCUUAGGGCUGACUUUUUGUUACUUUCUCUUGCUUCUAUCUUAUCGCUCCUCACAGCAUUUUCAAUCAUUUCACCGGUCAUUACUAUGUCUGAGACGCUUUUGGUGGCGUUUCCCAACAUAUGGGUGAUAAAAGGGGCCUUCAAGGUGUUGAUAAAGAGCAUCGUGGUUUCUUUUUCUAGAAGCAGCGGAUGAACUUGUAUGGCCACUUCUCUCCAUCUUUGUGCGUACUGUCUGAAACUUUCAUUCGAUUUCUUCUCCAUAUUCUGGAGAGUGAUCCUGUCGGGGGUCAUGUCCGUCAUAUGAUUAUAUUGUUUCAUAAAGGCCUAAGCCAGGUAUUUCCAUGAAUUAAUUUUAGCUCGGCUCAAUUGGUUAUACCACUUAGAUGCCGCCCCAACCAGACUGUCCUGAAAACAGUGAAUUAAUAGUUGGUCAUUGUUGACAUAUCCCGUCAUUCGCCUGCAAAAUAUCGUGAUGUGAGCUUCAGGGCAGCUCGUUCCAUUGUAUUUCUCAAAUUCAGUCAUUUUGAAUUUGGGGGGAGGGGAAGGACCAAGUCUGGGACCAAACUCAGGUCCUUAGCAUCAAUCCCUUGAUGAUUAUCUGCGUAUUCCAUAGCUCUGAAUUUCUCCUCCAGCCAUUUACAACGUUUUUCUAAUUGUUUUUGCGAUUCUACCCUUGCCUUUUCUUCUUCUGCAACUUCGUCCAAAUCGGGAAUAGGCGGAUAACUCGAGUUAUUAACAAGGUUAGAGCCUGAACCGGCUUGGAAAUUCAUUGGUAUCGAAGCUCCAGCCUGAAUCUACUGAGGCAUGAUCGUAACAGAUGGUUUUUGUAGAUUAAUCUUGGGCUUCAUCGGUACAUGUGUCAGUGUGAAGCCAGGGGAUUGAGGAUCUUCAUUAGUUUCCUCAACAUUGUCCAUGGGGCCCUUUCCCUUAUCCGUUCUUCCCAUCAGCAAUUGGGAUAACUGACUCAUCAUUUCUCUUUGGGAUUCCAUCAUUUGCUCCUUCAUCUCUCGCUGAAUUUUGGUUAGCUGCUCUUGCAUCUGAGACUGCAUUUGUUCCUGCAUGUCCUUUUGCAUUUGCUCCAAUUUCUCAAGUCUUUUAUCCAUUGACUUUUUCCUUGUACCGUAGGGGUGCAUAGUUGGUUGGUUUUCGUUGGUUUCCAGGUUACUGUAAUGAUUUUUAAUUAAUUAGAAACCUUUUAUGACCUUUAAUGCAUAAUGAUGUGAUGUAAUGCAAAUGCAUGAAUGCAAAUGAGGCAUCAAUUUUAAUUCAAUUCCCUUUAGAAAACUUCACUAGAAAAUAAAAUUCUUUUACAUAAAGUUGAGUUACAAAUAAAAUUUUGCUCUAAUGCUUAAAGUCUUAAUUUUCCUAAGCAACGAAACCAGCUCUUUUCCGUGAUCUGACCCCAACCCGUACUUCAUGCUCAGUGUGUCCGCCUGUACCGCUAAAGCUUGCAAGUAGUCAGCUACCUCCCGGAUCUGGGUUAUAGCUUCCCCCAUAAGGUAAUCCCUGUUUCUGACUUGGUCUUGCGCAUGGUGAAGCUGCUCUUUCUAACGGUCCUCAUUUGUCUCGAAAAACUGAAUCCGCAUCUUAUAAUUUUGCAGUGACGCCUCUAAUUCUUCUAUAUUUCCUUUCAUUUCUUCUAUCUUGCUCAAGCUUGCUCUCAAUUCCAUUGCGAUGUUGCGGUUUCGGUACUGAUGAAGAGACUUCUUGAGUUCUGCCACUCUAGCCUUUAAUUCACCUCGCUCAUUUCUGUUUUCUGAUAGACUCUUCUCUAAAUCUUCAUUUCGUGCCUGAGCUUUUUAGAAAUUCCUUUCCCAUCGGUCUGCUUUGGUUUUUUCUUCUCGAAUUUCAUGGCGCCAUUUUUCGGAAGUUUUACCUAACCUCGCAGUCCUCAUAGACAGGCGUAGCUUCUUAUAAUCAGUCUUCAAGCUGUCUAGAUCUUCUUCGGCCUUAGUUUUCCUUUUUCUCCACUUCUCAGCCUCUGACCUCUGUACAUCAGUGACUAAUCUCAAGUGCAUCUUCUCUUCCUCCAAUUGUUCGAUCUUUUUCCCAAGCUCUAAACUCUUCUUCUCGAAAUCUUACUUUAUAAUUUCCAACUCUAACGGGGCAACUUGUAAUUGUUCCACCUUAGGUCAAGUAUUUUCCAAGCUUGGCCUAGGAACAUUAUCAUUAACCCUCUUCUUGAACCAUCCAUCAUACUCGGGUGUCACCAUGAAAUCGACAGCCAACCUCUUUAUCCAACGAGUUUGCUUCCAAGCAUCCGAUAGCUCCCAAACUUUCUUCUUAUAGUGAGCACCUUUAAAGAAGAAUUCACACUGAGCAAGUUCGUAGGUCGUGGGUACAAACUACCUCGAUUUAUAUUGCCUUAACGCAAGUAAUGGAGUAUACCCAGUAGCUCCCCAAAUUCCUAACAACGGUACCCAAUCAAAGUCCCCACAUCAAUACAUGUUCUCAUCAGGAACCAUCCAAUAAGCUCUCCAUUCUAUAUCCCCCUCAUUGAGGUUUUGGAUGAUUUCCAUCCACUUCUCCUCUAGGAUAUCCUCUCUCCUUUGUAUGGCCGCCUCCUCUUUUAACGGGGAAUAACCUUCGGAAAAGACCUGAUAAGAAACCUUGUCUACCUUCCAAGAGUGCCCAUGAAACUACACCAUCAACAGUUGUGCACAUCCAAUAAACCGCCCCUCAGCUGUCUUCCGACACGUGCUCAAGGACCUAAACGUCUCAGCCAAUAUUGCCGGUACAGGUGUGAUUCCCUUCUCAAGGCGAUCGAAUAAGUUAAUGACUGCCUCGUCCACGUGCCUCAAAUCCUUAGGAAAAAUUACAAAUCCGUAGAUGCUUAAGGUGAAUAUAUCGACCCUCUUUCUUUCAUCUAGAUGCGUCAAAAUCAAAUCUUACAAAUUCUCCCAAGGGAUACAUUUACUAUCUCCUUUUUGUUGAAUCCGAGCAGUGACCCAAGUCUCGCUCAUUUCUGAAAUGUUCAUCAGUUUUUUCACGAAAGUCUGACCAUUAAAAACCCUGGCAUAAGUCUUUCUAACUUGAAUUUUCGGACAGCUGAGCAAGGUAGUGUAUUCCUCCAUGGUAGGUACUAAAUCCACUUCUCCAAAAGUGAAACACUUGUAAGCAGAACUCCAAAACUGAACCAUAACUCGGAAUAGAUGCUUAUCCACUCUAAUGUCUAGCAAGUAGGAUAUAUCACCAUAGCUUUGAUAAAACAACUGUUUGGUCGCUUCAUCCCAAUGAGCCCAUAUAUCUCUCAACUCUUGCAACUCAUUCUGUGCUACAUUAACGCGAGUGAAUUCUUGCAAUUCUGAUAUAUACCCUUCUACCAAGCUAUCCUCUUUCUCCGAUUGUAACUUCUCUAACCAUGUGCGGACGACGACAUUAUCCUCGACUUUACUAAGAAAUUCAUUCUCCAUGUCAAACUUUCUAACUUAGUAAUUGAAUACGAAUCAACACCUCAUUUAGUAUGCAAUGUCAUGCAAAACACAAUCAAAACAAAACACAGGUUAGUAUCAAAUAAUAGUGAUGAAAUGCAAGCACAUAAAUGAUAAUUACAACAUGUAUACGGGUAAAUACUAAGGCUUGAUGCGGCUCUACCCAAGGAUAGCUCUUAAGGUUCACUAUAUGUGGUUCGGUUCUAGAGAUAAGGUACCCGAACUAGCAGAGUCCUUAAUCUUCACCCAUUAUAGGCUCAUAUAGAUCGAGUUCGGUUUAGGGGGAUACAUUUCCCUAUGACCAUGUGGAGAUGAAAAUCUCACGAAAUCAUAGGUACGGAUGUACCCCGGAAGCAAUCCACUAGCCCAUGCGGAGGUGAAAACCUCACGAAAGCAUAGUCUCUUACUCCCACUUAGAAGGUGUGACCACAGCGGUCAUGCAAUGAAAAUGCAAUAUUAUACUACAAGACCCGAAUCAUGGCAAUCAUACAAACAAAUGCAAUUAUGAUUUUCAAAACAAAUUUUCAAUAUUUCGACAAAAGGACAACAAAUAAUCGAUUUCAUGGCUAGACUCUUUUAUCAAAUCCCUAGCGGAGUCGCCAAGCUGCCGAAAUCAUUUUUUUAAAAAUAAUGUUAAAUUUAAUGAAAAAAACGAGAAUCGACUUUUUGAAAAACGAAAAUGGAGUCGCCACUGAUCUUUUUGUUUUGGUGUGAUCGGAUCACCUAAGAAUUUGGUUAUUUUAAUAAAACAUUUUUGGUUUACUAAAACAACGAUUUUGGUCUACGAACUUUUAAGAAAACGGGUUCGGGAGUCGGUUAUGCAUGAGGAAGGAUUAGCACCCUCACUACGCCCAAAAUUGGUACCAAAUCGAUUAAAUAUUGUCCUUAUGUCUAAGAUUUAAAAAUGUUUUUGAAAUGGGAUUCCCUUUUGAUAACGUUUGAAUAACCUGGGUUGGUCAUCAAAAUUCUCUUGCUUAAAAGGAAUACAGCACCACAUCCAGCACGAUACGACAUGAUCCUUUAUGCCCUCGAAAACAUGAUAAAUUUUGACUUCCAAAAAUUUAUACGUUGAAAACCGCAAAAGGAUGCCCAAUUAUUUAGUCCAACGAGAAAAUCGAAACCCAGCAUAGUAGGGCACGACUCCUCGAAUUUCUAGAUAUCAGACAUUGCCUUAUUUUAGAAUUUAGAGAGUAUGAGUGAAAUUCUAAAGGAAUCUUCGAUCAUUUUGGACAAACGAGAAAUUGCAACCCAGCACGAUAGGGCACGAUUCCGUGAAUUGCCAAAUAUCGAACAUCGCCUUCGUUUAAAGAAUUUUUAAAAGACAUGAGUGAAAUUCUAAAGGGACCUUCGAUUAUUUUGAACAAACGAGAAAUUGCAACCUAACACGAUAGGGCACGAUCUCGCGAAUUGCCAAAUAUCGAACAUCGCAUUUGCUUAAAGAAUUUUUAAAUGAAUAAUUAUAAAACUAGCUUAAAACGCAAUAAUUCGACUUGAAAUAAAACGGAAUUAAUUUUAAAGAUUUGGACCUUAUAAAACCAAAUUUCGUAAACCAAGUGGAAAACCAUGAUAUGGGAUAAUACACACAUACGAUACAAUGCCAAUUAACAAACUAAUAAUCAAGCAAGGCUAAUCUAAGACGAAUGUAAUCGAACUUCUAAACAUGGAUGGAGCAAUUGAUAUAACAAUAAAAUGAAUAAAUAAUAUACAACGAUAAUAUACAUAGAAUAAUAAAAAGCUAUCAAUGCAAGAUGUAUAGAACAAAGUAACAAUUUGAAGUUAAUGUGAUAUAAGACAUUUCUUAAAACAAUGACGAAUAAAUGAACACAUAAUAUAUAAUGUUGACAAAUUUGCAUAAAAACUAAGGAUAUAUAAUUUUUGAAAUAGAUAUCAUAGAAUAAAAGUUUGAAUCAAAUUGCAUGAAAAAUAUUCUAAACACAAAUUCAUUUAAAAGUUGACAAAGUACAUGAUAAUUUGAAUAAUAUAUAUAAUACGAAAGAAAAAUAAAGGUACAUAACAAUACAUAAUACACAAAAUAGAUUUAUAAAACAUAUGUACAUGUAAAUUUAUUGUAAAAGAUCAUGAGAUUAAUAAUAAUAUAUAUAAAAAUUUUAAGUCAGUGUAGAAAUUAUAUACAUACCCUUAUAUCAAAAACAUUUAAAUAAGAGGCUAUAAAAAACACAAAAGUAAUAUAAUAUAAAGAAACAUUCAAAAAUAAUAAUUUUAUAAUUUCAAAGAUGAAGUUUUUAAAAUAGUUUCAUAUAUACAUAAAGAAAAUACUUGAUAAAUCAUAAAGCAAAAAGUGUUUUAAAUAAAAAAUCUAUUAAAGUAAUAAGUGUAUUAAUAUGUAUACAUAUAAAUUUAAAAGCAAGUACAUGUAAAAUAACAUAGAAAUGAUAACCUGUAUAGGACUAAAUUAAUUUUAUUAUAAAUUACACAAUAGAUUAAAUACGGAUAGAUUAAAUAUAUAAAGAAAAAAUAUAUGUAUAAAAUACACGAGUUUAAUAACGUAUAGAUUAAAUACGGAUAUCCAUAAAUGUAUAUACAUAUAUGAUAAUAGCUUAAAAAAUAUAUAUUAUGUAGGAUUAUAUAAUAAAAUACAAGAAUAAAUUUAAAAGAAAUCAUGUGCGUAAAAUGAUAUAAGGUUAAUAAUAUAUAUAUAAAAUAAAAUUAACUUUAAUACAAAGUAUAUGUAUAUAUAUAUUAAUAUUUAAACAAGAGGUUAUAUAAGAGUAUUAAAAUAGCUUAAUGCAAAAAGAAUUUUAAAAUGAUAAUUUUAUUAAGCAAAAUAAAGUUGUGCACAUACAAAUAUAUAUAUAGCAAUAAAUAAUAUUGUACAGAAUAUUAAAAUGAAUCAACACAUGUUCAAACAUUAAACAUAUUGUAAAAUAAUAGGCUAUACUAAUAGGAGAUUAAAUUAAAAUUUAAUUAAAAUAAGAGGGGUAAUUUGAAAAUAAAGCAGUAACAAUAAAAGGACACGCGCAAAUGUGUAGGGACUCAAACUGGAAAUAAUCCAGCCCUCAAAACGCAGUGAUCAGCUGCGGAUCCAUUUGCAAAAGAGUGUGAAUUACAGGGAUAAUUUAAAAAAAAACAAAAGAAGCACAGAUAUGAGCUGAUUUGAACACGGCGCGAAAAGGGAGGGACUCAUAUAUCAAAUAACCCAUCUGAAGCACAAAGGCGCGGGUUCGGGUCCUGGAACGGGUCGACGCGCGGAUCCCUUUCCCCCCAGAACGGUGCCGUUUCGUUAUAUGCUUAAAAAUUGAAGAAAAUGAAUGGCCUUUUGCCAUUUUUUGAGCCAUAAACCAAAGACCCAAGCAUUAGGGUUACAGCACAGCAGAUUUUAAUGCUUUCCCAUCCCCUUUCCAUUCGGCCGAAUUAGGAGACCUUUAGACUGCCGUUUGGCCUCUAUGUCUAGCCGACGGUCAUCACUUGAAGGCCCAAUCUAGCUCCGUCCAACCGUGGAUCCAAGGUUUUUGCUCCAAAGCUUCAAAGUCCUCGCCUAAACUUCGAUUACAACGAAGUAGCUAGGAUUCGAAGGAGCCAAAUAUGAAGGUAAAUCUCUUUUCCUUACUCUUUUUCUUUUUAAAAACGAAUAUCAAUCAUGAAGAAAAGCAAAAAGAAAAAUGAAUGAGAUGCUAGAUUUAAAACAAUCACCUUUUCAAUUCGUGAUUUCUACUUUGUUCUAUUUGAUAUCUUUUUGUAUGUGUUUUUUCGUAAAAAAAGAAGGGGCUUUUACAAUCGAAAAAUGAAAGGCUUUAUAGCCGAAUCAUCAAAAUAAAAUAAUAAACACAAUUUUCUUUUUCUUUUUUCGUAUUGGCUUGUUGCUGCUGUUGUUUGUCUGUUUCUUCGUAGGUACGGAGUGUGCCUGGCGCGAGUACGAGGGCUGGGCUGGCGUACGGAGGCGCGGGUGUGGCUGCUAGAGGGUACGGAGGCUGGGGCUGCUGCGGCUCAAGCAGAGACUACUAGGGUUCUGCCUUGAUUUUUUUGUUUUUGGGCUGUAGGAUAUUUGGGUCUAGGUUUGGGCUUGUAAUAAGUUUGGGCUAUGUUAAGGUAUUUGGGUCAUUGUAAUAACUUUGGGCCUUGGACUGUUUCUAUUUUUGUUUGGGUUUUAUAUUUAUUUGUUUGUAACGGGCUGGGCAAAUUUGGCCCACUACAGAAAUGAUAUGUUCUUCAUAUUUUAAUAAAAAUUAAUUAAAUGUAUUUAU